UCCCGCCUUAGAUCGUCAAUGGGCCCACGAAGGCCCAAAACCCGAUUCUCGUAACAACUGCAAAAAGAGCGCAAAUUGCAGUCUGAGAGGCAUUCGUCAACCUCUCCAUUUCUCCUCCAUUGGAGAUCCCAUCCAGAUCUUUGCAAGUAUACCUGUUCCUCUUCAGAUCCGAAUCAAGAUCACAACUUGUCAAUGGCGAAGCUCGAAUCCCUCGAUGAGCCGAAGGCGAAGGCCAAGAAGAGGAACCACGGCAGCACCAGCUUCUUCGUCUUUGUGGAUUACCUCUUCCUCUUCAUCUUCUUCUGCUUCCUCUGCUUCAUUCUCUACAAGAUGGUCGGCCUCUGAUGGAACCUUUCUCGGCAUCCGCGCUCGUUCCGCCGCCACGGAGGAGAAAUAGGCUUUCAGUAUGAUUUGAAUCUGAAGCUGCUGGGCACUGGGCUUACGGGAUUAUGGAGAGUCAGGGCAUAUAAAUCUUUUGUGUGGUUCUUGUUAUGGAGAAAAGCCACCAGUUUGUCUUGUUGAAAAUUUUGAGAAAGAUCUGUUUUUGAUGUUCUCGAGAAUUUAUUUACUCUUUGCUUCUAUUCAGAAUCACAUUCUUCAUUUCUUUUCUGGGGGUAUUAGUUUUUAUUGUUAGAGCUGAAAAAUGGCAACGCCUUGCUUAUGGACUAGUUGCAGUGAUAAACGUGUGAAACAUGAAGUCAGUUUAAGGUAACUUUUGUGUAUUGGGACUGGGAGAACGGUGAUGAUGUAACAUAGUCAAUCCAAUACUUACCGCUGGUUAAUGUAUAUGCUGGGAGAUUGUCCUUGAUACAUUAAUGAUUGUACUUUCUGCAUCAUGUUUGAAAAAUGAAAUGGAAUCCCAGGGGAGAGAGGAGGUGCUAAGUA